rnacentral:lncRNA from 1 species
AACACAGAGAAAAAUCUUUCACAGUUUAUAAUUUUAUUAUCUUUCUUUUCGUUUGAAAUCUUUGUGAAUAAUGGCUAAUGUUGGAAACACUAACCUGCAUGAUCGUUUUAAUACACUAGUUGGUGACCUGCAGUUUGCACGAAAUCAGUUUCAGUUCAAAUGCGCGGAGUUAGUGAGAAAUUAUGAAGAGUCUCAACCGAAGAAGGUGCUGGAGGAAAAGAAAAUGGAUUUGGAAAAGUACUACGAGAAGCUAAAAGAAGUUAUGAAGAAAAUCGUUGCUUUCGCCGCAAAAAUAGGUUAAUUUUACUUUUCUAAUAAAGAUCUGUUGGUCUGUGUCUAAACUCUGAUGACGAGUGAUAUAUAGACAAGUUAAUUAUUUUACUUUUCUUGAACUAUUUAAGUCCUGUGAGACUUUCUUGUAAAUAAAUAAUUGCUGUCUCUAAACUCUGAUGAGUUAUAUAUAAAAUACAUAUGCAUUUGUUUUUAUCUGUCCCUUUUCUCUUUUUCUUCUUUAUGAGUCGAAGAGACUCACAUUCUCUAAAGAGUGUCGUUCCAUGGGAUCCAAACAGAGAAAGAUUUGAAAAUCAGUCUCAUUUCUUGAUCAUUGUCGAGUUCUUGGUAAAAUCCCAUUAGAGAUUUUUCUCAACGAGAAGUGAUAUUUAGGAAAGCCUAAAAAGGACGAGAAUCCAUUAUGAUGAUGAUCCCAUUGCCUUGUGUCCCAAGAGACGCCGAAGAAGAAUAAGAGAAGCUAAUAUUAAUUUAUUAAGUUCUUUAUUAAGAUCAAAAGGAAAAUAUUCCUCAAGUUAUAUAUAAUCAUCUAAUCCGGAUAGAUUAAGUGUAGAGUUGUAAUUCUUCUAUUUAUGUUAUUUCCUGAAAAAUGUAUUACAAGUUGAAAAAGAUUAAGAUAGUUCAACCGAGUUUGAAAUGGUCUUGACCUAUGACUAAUUUUCUUUCAUCUCCAUUUAUUUCUUCUAUAAAUUAUAAAACUAUUUAUUAAAAGAUAACUUGCGGAGAAAUAUUUACUCUUGGCAACACGUUUUCUUUCUUCAUGAUUACUAAAUUAGGUUCCAAAAAGAAAAAAAGAAAUACCUCCAAAAAGAAAAAAUAAAAAAAGGUAAGAUAGACUGUUUUUGCUGGUUACAUGUUUAUUCUCACUAAAAAAUGAAAACUCUUGAUAAAGAACCCAUGAACUUAGCGAAUCAUAUCUACAUUUGGAUCUAAUUAUGUGCCUCAAUUAAUAUGAUGUCUGUAUAGUACAUUUUUUUUUAUCUUAGUGGGUUGCACACAUUUUCUGUAUGUAUAUCCUAUGAGACAUUAGGACACAAUUUAACAUUAGUUACACAAAACAUAUUUGUUGCCAACCAAACUAAAGUGAUUUAGGUAGAAUUAAAACAUUGGUGUCAAAAAACAUUUGUUAUUUCAAAAAGAAUGGCUGAUAUAUAUUUGUCACAACCAUUUUACAUACCAAAGAGGGUAAAAAUGCAAAACGCCAUUGAAAUAUUCUUUUACAAGUUUAGUAUUGUAGCUAUUUAUUUUUUAUUUAAAUAAGUUACACUUAUAUAUCAAAGAUAAAGUAGUUGCUUGGUAUUUGAAUCUGUUUCUCUGUCUACGUUACAUAUUAGUGGAUUUAGUUGUCAUUUUCUUGUCGCUUAUGAACUUCAUCGUCAUUAUUGCAUCUUGUGUUCUUUUUUUUUUUGUUUUGGUUAACAAAUUAAAAGUAUUUAUCUUGUUAAACACACGGGUAAAAAGAAAAGCCACUAAUAAAAUAAAUAUAAAAUGACUAAAAUAAAUAUAAUUUAUAACUAUAUAAAGUAUAAAAAAACAAAUAUUUAAGUUAUUAUGAUAAAAUAUAUAAAAAAAAUUAAUAAUAAAAACCAUAUAAAUUUUUUUACAUAAUAAUUCAAAAAACAAAUUCAUUGUUAAAUGCUUAUUAAUUCAUGCAUUUGGUUCAUAAAAUAAAACGGCAUCAUGUCAUAUGACAAAUUACAAAAAAAAAUAUGACAAACUAAAUAAAAAAAAUGUUUUGAAUUCUUAGAUCUUCUUGAUUAAUAAUAUUAUUACAAUACUUACGUUUGUAUCUUGUCAUUCUUUAAUUUGGAUUGACGCCAUGAUUUUGAAUUGAAAAAAAAAAUAAAGGUUUUGAGAAUUAACGUUAAAUAUAUAGGGGUUUGAUAAUAUUUUUUUAAUUUAUUCGCUACUGGAAACUUUUUAAAUUCAGCGAUUUCGAACAGUCUAGAACGGUUUAAAGCGUUUUGUAUGAUUGGUUUUAAACGUUAGCAACCACAACACAUCGUUUGUGGGUGGUAGAGAAAGAACCAAUCAAUCCCUAAAAUUUGAUGAGUUUUGGUUCUUAUUAAUAAAUAAAAAUGUUGGAUUUACCCAAUAGAAUCUUGCUCUUGUUUAAAUAUUAUAUCUGUGCAUUUUGUGAUUCUGGUUUUUUCUACAAUUUUAUUACAAAUUGAAAAAGAUUAAGAUAGUUCAACCGAGUUUGAAAUGGUCUUGACCUAUGCCUCGCUAUUUUUUUUUCAUCGCCAUUUAUGUCUUCUCUAAAUUUUAACAUUAUUUAUUAAAAGAAAACUAUCGGAGAAAUAAACACUCUUGGGAACACGUUUUCUUUCGUUAUGAUUACUAAAUUAGGUCCAUUUAGGGGACUAAUGAAAUCCAAAUUACCUUCACCACUUAAAUCUAAAGACACCAACCUACUUAUAGAAAAUAAUGUAACAGACUCGUCAUCUAGUAAGCAGUGACUAAUACACACCUCUAAAGUUGAGAUUUUAUUAUAUUGAUUUUUGAGAGAGAAAUUUUAAGUUUAUUCGCAUUUUGCUAUUACUGAUCGAGACUUAAGAACGAGACGAACUUUUGACGAAUUAUAUCUGUAAUGAUUUAAAUUCAAUGUGAUUAUUUUCAACUGUUUCUCUGCUUAGGUUACAUAUUAGUGAAUUUAGUUGUUGCAUUGUGUUUUUUUUUGUAACAAAACUAUCUAGCUUGUUAAACCCGUGAGGUAAAAUAUGAUUUUGAUAUAUGAAUUAUAAUUAGUACAUGUUUUUGAUUAUAGAAGUAACUAGCACACAUUUUUCUGUACGUAGAAUAGACAUUAGUACACAUUUUAUGUAGUGACGAAACAGGGGCUGAAUAAUAUGAGUACUAUACUCGAGAACAUUUAUGUAAGAAUAAAAUUCAUUAAUAAAAAAGAGUGGCUGAUUUCGUAAUCACAUCCAUUUAUUCUAUACCAAAUAGAGUAAGAUUAGUUCAAAACCGCUAUUUAAAUUGGUGUCUAAUCGAUGGGCUGAAUUGAAAUUAGGGUAAAAAUUACUUAAAAUCUAUAUUCAUUUUUUUUCUCACCGUUUAUUUUCAUUAGAAAUUUGAUUAAAAAUGAACUUUAAAAAAACGAACCUUCAUGACUCUUUCCCAAAAGCACCUCUAAAUAGAAAGAACGUAACCUCUAAACUCUAAAGUGAGAUUAUUGCCUUAAUUAACCAUAGACUUAAGAGAGAAGUUGUAAGCUUGGGUUAGUGGCGUAGAUGGAGAGUUAAGUACGCAACUCAACAUUUUCACCUUUUUCAGCUAUAAAUAGAGAUGUUUAGAAGAGGUUUUACAUUCCCACACAUAGAAAAAAUCUUUCACAGUUUUAUAAUUUUAUUAUCUUUCUUUUCGUUUGAAAUCUUUGUGAAAAAUGGCUAAUGUUGGAAACACUAGUGGGUCUACUCGUUUUGAAGAGGUAUGUCGUGAAAUGACGCAGCUAAAUGAUGAAAUUCAGAAGCUCAACGUGGAUGAUUUUGGUGCCAAUGAAGAAGCAAGGAAGAAGAUAACUGAUAUGACAACGAAGUUGAAAGAGCUCUAUGAAGAAACUGUGAUGAAAACGAAGUUGAAAGAGCUCUAUGAAGAAACUGUGAUGAAAGAAACUGUGAAGGAGAUGAAGGAAACCCAACAGUGAUAUGUUACUUUUACUUUUCCAGUGAAGCUCCCUCUUAUAGAUAAAUAAAUAAUUGAGAUGUUGUCUUAACUCUGAUGAGGAGUGUUAGAUAAGUUAAUUAUUUUACUUUUCUUGAACUAUUUAAGUCCUGUGAGACUUUCUUGUAAGUAAAUAAAUGGAAAACUCAGAUGAGUUAUAUAUAAAUAGACAUGGUUGUUUCAAUGUGUGCCUUUAUUUUCUUCUUCUUCUAUAUGAGUCACAACCUCUAAAGAGGAUAUUUUCAUGGGAUCAAAAUAGAUAAAGAUUUUUUUUCUUUUUUUUUCAAUUUUGUGUUCUUGGGAAUUUCUCAUAAGAGAAUGUCUCAGUCAGAAAUCAGCUAUAUAUAGGAAACCCUAAAAAAAAACUAUUUACUCAAGUUUAUUCAUUAUCAUCAAAAAUCUGUAAAAGUUAAGUCUAGAGUCUUAAAUCUUGUAGCUAUAUGUUAAUCAUACAAUAUAUAAUACAGAUUAAAAGAUUAUAAUAGGUUAACCGACAAAGAAAUGGUCAUGAGUCAUGACCGAUGCAUUGAAUUGGGGAUAAAGAAAAACUAAGACUGUUUUUCUUUCAUUUCCUUAUAUGUCCAUUGAAAAUUUCAAAUUCUUUACUAAAAUAAAUGAACUUGUGGAGAAAAUUAAAAAAUUCUUUUUGAUUCGAGAAAGAAAUACUCUUGAUAACAUGUUUUCCUUCGUCAUAAUGAGUUUCUGUUUUGUUUAUUAUCCCAAAUUACGUCACCUAAUGAACUCAUUUUAUCAAUAAUCAUUGAUAUAAAUAUUUUUCAGAUAGAAAAUGUAACAAAAAAAUUUGUGUGUUUAAAUGUUAAUGCUCAAAAGCAAAAAUAAAAUCUUGAUAAAUGACCACCUUAGAGAAUCAUAUCUACAUAAAUACUAGAGGACAAAAAGUAAUAUUUUAUGUUUUUUUAUUAUUAAUAUCAGUACAAACACUCUAUAGGUAAUGUUGGGUACGUAUGAAUAGCAUUGUUGCAGGGUCUUAAAGUUUAGUGAUUAGUAGCAAAAUAAAAAUCUUGACAAUAGAUGCAAACCUUUAGGUAUUAUAUCAAUAAUAAUCUAUAUAUAUAAUUAGAGAGUCUUCGAGGGUGAAUAGCCAUAUAACUCUCUCAGGCAUGUUUUUCGAGAAGGCUAAAAGUAGUCAACUCCUUUUGAAAAACCAGAUCUUACCAACUUUUUAUUACCAAAAAUAGAAAUUUCUGGUCUCCUUUGCCUCUUGAACCGGCAUUCUAACCGUCUCCGGCGGUGGCCACCGGUGAGUCCGGCGUAGGAGACGCCCCUCAUCUUGGUUUGGCCUCCUUUCUACCAUCCCUCAAGGCUCUUGCAUCACCUGUUCCAAAGAAAGACACCCAGCCUCAAAGUUCCUAAAAGCCAUUGAUUCUUGUACUCUUUAGUACAGAUCUACCUAAAAGAAACAACUUUUCCAAUGGUAUUCUCUCCAUAUGCCUCUGCUGAUGUGGUACCUGAUUAUAUCUUCUUGAACUAUCUCACUUUAUGUGAAGAACUGUCUUGGAACUUUUUGCUACUCUCUCACAAUAGUUAUCUCCACCUCUGAAUCCAACCCUGUAUUCCUCUCCUCUUGAGUGUGAAAGCUACUUCUGGUUAACCUCUCCUGCACCUGAUCUAAAUCAAAGAAGACAUGGAGGGACGAAUCCCUUACCACCUAAAAGGAAAGGGGACUGCAAAAGAUUUCUCUCCACCUCCCAGAAAGCGAAUCCGUGCUCCAGAGUUUGACACCUCAGAUCUCAUCCUGGAAAAUGCACUAACUCUUAUGGGUAGACUCACAAACCCUAGUGUCCAAAGACUCUGGUCACUUAUUCCUUUCCUGUCAAACCGCUGGAAUCUUAGAGGCAAAGCCAUAGGUUCUGACCUGGGAAGAGGCUGUUUUCAGUUCCGCUUUGAUUUCGAAGAAGAUCUCCAGAAGGUUCUAGACAACAGACCAUAUCACUUUGACCAGUGGAUGGUGAUCCUUGAGAGAUGGGAACCGGUAAUCUCUCCCUUGUUCCCAUCAAAGAUACCUUUCUGGAUAGAACUACAAGGCCUCCCUCUCCACUUUUGGAAGCCAUCUAUGCUCCGGAACAUAGCUGAAGAGGCUGGCACUUACUUGGACCAGGACCUUACUCCAACCUCUGCAAAAGUUAAAGUAAUGAUUGAUGGCCUUAGCCCUCUGACAAAAGAGACAAUAGUUGAGUUUUCUGAUGGUAGUGAAGUUUUGGUGACCCUAGAUUAUAAAAACUUGAGGAACCACUGUCACCAUUGUCUCAGAUUAUCGCAUGAAAAAAAGGACUGCCCGAGACUUCUAACUCCAAGAGCUUCCAAAGCAAAAAUAAAUCCUCCUUCUUCUCAAUCACCAAGAGUCUCCUCCUUCAGAUCAAGCCACCUACAGAAAAGUACAAAUAAUCAAUCAAGAGACUUCCACUCUAGACAGACAAGCUACAAUACUUACUUGGAGGGACAAUCUAACAAAAGAUAUCGGGAUAAAGGGAAAACUAGGAGCAAACCUCUGAAUACUCAAAGAUCCCAAGAAAGAAACAUCUCUAGUGGCAGAACAUCUCCCACCAGGUCCCAUACCCCAUAUAGAGGGUACCACAACUCUGAUCUGCGCCACCACUUACAUUCAAAAGCGAACGGUAAAGGUCAAAGUGCGCAAAACUACCAAUGGAGAGAAAAAGCCCACACACAAGGCACUGGGUUGCUUGAAUCUUCUGUGUCCUCCAGAACGAGAAGGCCACCUCUAGAGAGAGACUUAUCACCUGGUAGACAAUCUUCUCCAGGCUUUACUGCUCAGAAUCCUCCUGAGGUUUCCAGGCCCUUGACUAGUGGAGUGGUGACUCCUAUUCCUCCUCCUCCCCCUGUACAUGUAUUGGAAGAUGUAAUGGGUGAAUUGAGAGAGGUGACUGUGCAGUAUACUAGUUGUGCGGAUCCAACUGAAAGUGCUGCUAGAUGACAGCGAGUCUUACAGGGAGAAGCUAGGGGCUUGAUGGCUGAAACUGCAGCCACCAUUAUUGCUGCAGCAACUCUUUGCCCUAUCCAAGCGACUCAGCUUCCAUCCCCCUCUCUAGCCUCUGGUUCUGGAACCACCUUAGAGGCAAUUACAGAGCCCUUCAAUGCCUCUUCCAAUCCGGAGGUCCCUGCAAAAAAGAGACGUGGCAGACCACCAAUCAGCAGGCCUAUCAACAAGAGUCCCCUGAAGAUAUCUGGUGUCAAAUCUCAGAAAAGAAACUUAUGCAAUACCCAGAGUGCAGCUAACAGAAGGCAUGGUAAUGGAAAAAAUAUCCCUCCUAGUGAGGAGAAUCCUAGUUCCUCAAACAGAGCAGGUAGCUCUAAAAGAAAAAUCCCUCUUAAUGAGGAGAACAUUACUACUACAAAAACAACUGGACCCAAGAUAAAGCUCAUACCUGCUUCAAAAAAGGGCUUGGUGGAUUUUCAGAAUCCAUCAACUCCUCUUCCUUAAGAAUAGUGAGCUGGAACUGUUGUGGGCUGAGGAAUCCCAUAACAGCUCGUCGUUUAAGGGAUAUUCAUCAAAAAAAUUUCCCUGAUUUUCUCUUCCUCAUGGAGACAAAGAAUGACUCAACUUAUGUUCUCCAAAAACUACAAUGGAUGGGCUACCACUCAAACUUCUUAGUCCCACCUCUUUCUCCAGGAGCAGGAGAGUUAGCUCUUUAUUGGAAAAAAGAUCUCGAAGUAGAAAUACUUAGCUCCUGUCCAAAUUUUAUUGAUACAAAAAUCAAAUCCAAGGGUAGAGUUUUCUUCACUACCUUCUUAUAUGGCGAGCCUGAUAGAACUAAGAGAUUACAAGUCUGGAACCAGAUAAGAGACUUGGCGGCCCAAAGAAAUGAACCAUGGCUCUUGACUGGCGAUUUUAACGAUAUUAUCAACAAUUCAGAAAAAAGAGGAGGCCCUACCAGACCAGAAGGCUCUUUUGUGGAUCUAAGAUCACUAAUGGCUGAAUGUGAUUUGUAUGAUCUAAACUACUCAGGUAAUUUUUUGUCUUGGAGAGGCCAAAGAUACACCCACCUGGUUAGAUGCCGGCUUGAUAGAGCAAUGGCCAACAGUUGCUGGGCAGAAGCAUACCCCUCUGGCACAAGUGAGUAUUUACGCUUUGAGGGAUCUGACCACAGACCAAUUGUCACCUCCUUUGACCCUGUAAAGAAAAAGCAAAAAGGCCUUUUUAGGUAUGAUCGCAGGCUAAGGGAUAAUACAGAGGUUACAAAGCUGAUAAUGGAAGCAUGGAACUCAUCAAAUUCUGACUCAGUGGAGGAUAGGAUUAGUAGAUGCAGAGUGGUAAUUAUCAAAUGGAACAGAGAUAAGCAUCUUAAUAGCCAGUAACAGAUAGAUGAACUUCGACAGAAGCUUGAAGAGGCUAUGUCCAGUGAUAUAUUGCUAUCAGAGCUAAUAGCAAAAAUCAAUAAUGAUCUAAUCUUAGCCUACCAAGCCGAAGAAGAGUUCUGGAAACUGGAUAUUUUCAUGCAGCUUCAAGAGGAAGAAAAGCAAUUAAUAAUAUCUCAGUCCUAGAGAAUGAAGAGAGACUAUCGGUCUAUGAGGAGGACGAGAUAGUUAAAGUAAUAUCUGAGUAUUACCAAUCUAUUUUUAUCUCUCAAGAAGGAUCAAGAGCUGACAUUGUCUCUGAAGCCUUGACUCCGUGUAUAUCACCAGAAGUUAAUGCCUCCCUCAUCCUUAUCCCUUCUCCCCCAGAAAUAAAGAAAGCUUGCUUCUCCAUCCACGCUGAUAAAGCCCCGGGCCUGAUGGCUUCUCUGCAAGUUUUUUUCAAACUAAUUGGGACACAGUUGGAGAGAAGAUAAUUUCAGAAGUUCAGUCUUUCUUCUAUUCAGGAAUCUUACCUCAAAACAUUAAUCAUACUCAUGUCCGCCUAAUUCCCAAGAUAACAAGUCCUAAGAAGGUAGCUGACUACAGACCUAUCGCUCUAUGCUUGGUAUAUUAUAAGAUCAUCGCCAAGAUCCUCUCCAAGAGGCUCCAGCCAGUCCUACAAAACAUUAUAUCAGAGAAUCAGUCAGCCUUUGUGCCUCAACGAGCCAUCUCUGAUAAUGUACUUAUUACCCAUGAGGUACUUCAUUACUUAAAAAAGUCAAAAGCAAAGAAGGUAUGCUACAUGGCAGUUAAGACGGACAUGAGCAAAGCGUAUGACAGACUAGAGUGGGACUUCAUCAAACUCGUCCUAGAGAAACUCGGCUUUCACCAACAGUGGAUUCAAUGGAUUAUGUAGUGUAUAGUCACUGUUUCCUACUCUUUCCUUUUAAAUGGAACUGCCAAGGGAUUGGUCAUACCUGAACGUGGAAUACGCCAGGUGAUCCACUAUCUCCAUACAUCUUCAUACUGUGCAGCGAAGUGUUAUCCGGACUAUGCAACAGAGCUCAAUCAAAUGGAAAACCGUUGGGUAUCCGAGUUGCUAUAACUAGUCCGAGAGUUAAUCAUCUACUUUUCGCUGAUGAUACGAUGUUUUUCUGCAAGUCAGACCAAAAGAACUGUAAGGAACUAGCAACAAUCCUCCAGACGUAUGAAACUGCCUCCGGUCCAAAAAUCAAUCAACAGAAAUCAGCCAUAACAUUCUCAGGCAAAACGAAGACUGAUACAAAGGAGAGGGCCAAGAGAAUUCUCAGAAUCUCAAAUGAAGGAGGACAGGGCAAAUAUUUGGGCUUACCAGAACUUUUUGGUCGCAAGAAGAAAGAUAUGUUCACUAUGAUCAUAGAUAGAAUCAAGCAAAAAGCGCUCAGCUGGUCUUCAAGAUUCCUUUCUUCUGCUGGUAAAAUGAUCAUGCUAAAAUCUGUACUCUCAGCUAUGCCCACGUACACAAUGACUUGCUUUAAAAUACCGGCUUCCCUUUGCAAGCGUAUUCAAUCAGCUCUCACCUGCUUCUGGUGGGACGCUAACACUGAAAAGACGAAGAUGUCUUGGAUCUCUUGGAAGAAGAUGACAAGAUCACUGAGAAAUGGUGGACUGGGAUUUCGUGACAUCCAACACUUCAAUGAUGCCCUGCUGGCAAAAGUCAGCUGGCGAAUUAUCACUAAACCAUCUUAUGGACGUCGGAUUCACACACUCGAAUAUUUGCUUAUUUAGUGGGAAAGAUUAUUCUUGAGGACAAAAAUAUGAUAUGAAAAAGCUAUGAAUUGCAAUGAAAAUGAUUAUAGUCUAUUUGCUAGAAAAAUUGCCUCUCCUUUACAUGGCUCCUGCCCCUAUUAUUUAUACUAACAAACGACAUUUAACUCUCAAUUAAAUACAAUUAUUCUCUCUUAAAUGUGUCCAUUUUGGUCUUCGAAUUUAAUGCUCAACGUUUGAAUUUGAUUUGAUUCUUAUCUUCAUGGGCUUCGCCAUUUAGCCCAAAAGUCCCAAACUGAAAUGAUCUUCAACUUCGACUGAGUAUCCUUCUCGUGGUGAGACCACUCCGAUCCCUCUUCGUGGUAUAACCACCUCGACUAAACUUUUGGGCUUAUACGUCUAUCGGGCCUUGUCCUCUAUGGGCUUCUGUCCUACCUAUGUGACAAUCUUUGGUUGGUCCCGAACCACCCAUGCGGGAUCCGACACCAAUAAUUAGCCCCCCAAGUCUUUCGAAGUGCUACCUCAAUUCGGAAGAUUUUAAUGCUGAAACGACCAAAGAUUGCGCUUAAGGAUCUUCUGAUUUCCCGCCGAAAAUCUCAUCACUCCUUUAAUUCCAGCACUAGCCAUUUUUAACCGAGUGACAUCUGUCACCAUUAUGACCGUAUAUUAAUUUAUUACUAUUAAGACGGGAAAAACCUUCCCACUUCCCACACAACUUCCGAGGCGGUUCCAUCAUUUAGCUUGUGAAAGGUAACUUCUUCUCGUCAUCAUUUUUUACUUUUACUUUUGCGCUUUAAUCAAAACUUCUCUCUUUCGCCAAACCCUCUUCGCCGGACCUUUGAAUUUUUUGUUUUCUCCGAUGACUUCCGAUUCUGAAAGAUCUGAGUCUCCGUCUUAUGACGAGAGACGUUCUAGCAAUGACGAAUGCACUCGUCCUAACGACAUUGCUGGUCCACACUACAGAUCCACCUGUACUCUUCAAUCCCUAGAGCGAUUAAAGGGGCUUUGCCAGAUUCCCCCUGGAAUCAUAGCAGAAGCACAUAUAGCCGACCCUACGGAGUCCCCGAAAAACCACCGCGAUGGCUACUUUUGUGUUUACGAAAUCUAUUUCAAGGGCUGUGGACUGACCUUCCCCCUUCCUGAAGCCCUAGUUCGAUACCUGGCGGCUCUCAAAAUCGCUUUACCUCAGCUAACCCCCAAUCUCCUCUGAAUCAUCCUUGGGAUCAUAACCGUUGCGGCGGAAGCUGGCUACAUUAUUGGGGUCCCCGAGCCGAACGAACUUCUAAGUGUGAGAAGUUCGUCAAAGAAAACGGGGUACUUCUCGGCAUAUCCAAAUGCCAACAGGAACGUCAUCUCGCACCUCCCGAACAAGGAUGAAAACUGGCACCAUCGUUGGUUCCUGAUUAAGAAAACUCCUACUUCGAUUGGAAAUCUUUCCGAUGUACUCCCAUCGAAGUGGUCUGCAAAGCCUACUAGAAACUAGGUCGUAUAUUCCUUUCCUGGUUGUUUUAUCUUUACUGACAAAACUCGUUGUUUCACUUCGCAGCUUUCAUCGCUUCGACUCUUCCGACUGAAGAAUUCGUCAAAUUCUUCAAAACAAUCCUUGAAGGGGAAACCCUUUGGAAUUCUUUCACUCUCGAUCGGUUUGUUGAAGCCAAUCGAAAACUCAGGAUGAGUCCUCCCAAUCACCUUCAUCGUCUUCCGCCUCCUCCUUCAACUCAGGGAAUGUCAGCUCGGGCCCUCAUUGCCCAGCGUAAGAAACUCUCCAAGCCGAUAACAGAGGCUUGUGAUAAGAACAAGGCGCUCCUUGCGGCCGCUAUUGAUAAGAAAGACUACAGCUGGACCUUGCUGGUCGACGACAACAACACCGAGGGGGCCAGAUCUGUCGCUGCUUUCAGAUUAACACCCCAUCGUGAACGUCGUGACGAUCGUUCUCCUCGGAGGGACCGAUCUCCUCGUCGUGAUUCUCCUCGUCCUCUCUGGGAUGAUUUUAGCAACGAACCGCUUAAGAACUUGGUUCGCAGGAAGAGAGACAAGUCAUCUCGUAGUGAUUCUUCUCCGCAUAGGGAGAAGUCGAGGGCCCGGACUGACCGUUCACCUUGAUCGUCCCCUCCUACUAAACCAAUGGGUCCUCCUGCUCCUGUUGACAUGUCCUUCUUUUCCAAACAUGAUGGUGAGAAGACUGCUCGGAGCGUGUCUCCCCAGAAGGAAAGUUCUAGGUCUCAAGAUACUUCCCCGAAGUCAAAACCUGCUCUUGUCCCCCAGGUCAAAUCGCUUACAGGUGGUGAUUCAUGCAUUCUUUAAAGGUUUUCACCCCAUCCUGAUUCAAAAUAUUACAAUUCCCCUUCUUCUUCCUUCACAGCUAUGGAGAAAGAAGGUAGCGUCUUCCGAUGCUUUAAGACCCGGUCGGGUCUAAUCCUGCCAGAAUUCGACAAGUGGCGUCCGGCAAUUUGCGAACGCUAUUUGCUUCAUGCGCACCACUCAUCUCGGGUUAGUUCCACCAAGUUUUUUUUUUUUUUUUUUUUUUUUUUUAGUUUCGCUAUUACCCUUCAUACUGACUCUCCAUCCCGAAUUUAUAUGAAAUGCCAGGCAAACAGUGAACUCAACGAUAUGGUUGAGCACUACGAGGGACUGCUGCUUAGCCAACUACAGGAGAUUGGUUCGUUGAAAGGCAAGCUUACUACUGUUGAAGCUGACCUCCACUUAUCUUCCGGCUCCAAGCAACAACUGGAGGACCAAGUCGACAGUCUCACAUCUGAGCUCGGGACGAUAAAGCGCGAACUGCGGGACCAGCAAGAUUGGAAUUACCAACUCCAGGGGGAACUUUCUGGUGUUCAGGACAGACUGACCGAGUCCGAAUCAGCUGCUUAUAAUCUGUCCAACCAAUUCGAUGAGCUUGACGCUAAGUAUAAGGCGAUCACCAAAUUACGGGACUCCGAGUUGGCGAGGUCAGCGUCGAAGGCUAGGAAAGAGGUCAAGGGACAUGGGAUGGACUUGAUCCAGGGGGCCAUCCGCUUCAUGCAAACCGAGAAAGCACGAUCGAUUUUGGAAUCGGACGUCAAAGAGUACGAGAGCAACUUACUCCUGUUGGAACAAAUCCACGAAGAGGGCUUCUCCGAAGAGCAGGAAAAGGCCGAGCUAACGAAUAAUUUGGCUGAAAAACGAAGUCGGCUCGCAGCCAUCCCUGCUUCCUCUUUCAAUCCUCAGCAGUUUGAGGAGUUCUUCACCGAGUCACCCCCCUUGGGCAAAUCCAGUUUAGACUGGGCUGGUAAGUCCAUGUUCUUUUAACACUAACCCUUUACUUGCUUUUAAUUUUUGGCUGACUGGAACCGUUCCUCCUAGGUUCACAUGAAACGGGGAACGUCGCUUCAUCGGAAGUCCCUGUUGCGUCGGUUGUCACCCCAGAAGAUGAUUGCGCAAUCGGGAACGAGCAGAGAGCCUCUUCUGAGCAAGUCCCAGCUAAAGAGGCAAGUGAGACCCUAACAUCUGAAGUGGAGGCCGAGGUGUCUGCUGAUUCGUAGUGGCUGUGUCCACUCCGAAUUGGGGCUUGUCCCAUAUUUUUUUUUUUGAGACUUAAAUCUUUAUGUUUUUGCUUUUUCCUAAAGAGGCUUUAUCAACUUCUUUCGAACAAGAUAUUUGCCUGAGGAGGCUUUUAAACCUUUUUUUUGAAUUAUAAUCCCUAGGGGGUUUGGUUAAAAUAAAAUGCGGGUUUGCAAGGUCCGCUUUUAACACUCUUUGGCCUAGUGGCUAUGUUUUUUGAGAUUUUUAGGCUAAUCAGGCCCUUUUCUUGGAAUGCGAGAACUGAGCUCGGCUUAACGCGAGGUCCCCACCUCGGGUUUAGUCAACUUUGAUGAAUUCGUUGGGCUUGGGCCUUAAAAACUUUUGUGCUUAAUGGGCUUCUUGCCUUAAAUGCGACGGUUACUCUUUCCCUUUCUUGGGAAAUAGGAAAAGCCGCACGUCUUUAAGGCAAUAACUGCCUUUUCUCUGUUUUCAAAAACAGUUUUAACCACUCGGGCAUGCUACCAUCAUUAAAUUUACGGUUUCAAGAUAAACCCUAGACCUAUUAUAAAUAGAGGCAAGUUUGCCUCUAACUUUUUCCAAAGAACUCCAAAAUUCCUUGGUAAUUUUCACAAUAAUGGAGAACGAAAAUAUGACCCCCAUCGAUCCUGGCAUCCCACUAUUCUUGUUCGGCGACGGCUUCGAGCCGGCCGGCGUUCUCUUUCCUCACGCCGUGUUCCACUUUCCUUCGAGGGAGAAGAAAGAGGCUUACGACUUCAUGGACAAGGUCAGAAUUCGCCUCUCUCGACAAAACUCCUAUGCCUUUUUCUUUUGAUUUACUUAUUCUUGUGACAGGUCGUCGACAAACAUCGCCGUUUAUGCGACGAGAGGAAACGGCUAGGACUCAAGAGGCAAACACUCGAGGCUCGUAUUGCUCGGGUGGAAAGGAAAGUGAGAGCCUUGGAAAGUGAUCCCUUUCAAUGGGAGUGGAGGAACUUUGAUUCUAUCGCAGAGAUCCCGAGAAUGCCCCGGAUGUAUCUCCGCGCUAAAGGUCAGGUUCAGGGACCAGUGAAUGCCCCGACCGAAGUUGCUCCUCUUGUCAGCGAAGAGGAAGACGAGGAAGAUGACGACAAACCUUGCAAACGUGUUCGGAAUGAACUCGGAGUGGAAGGCAGGGACGAUGCUUUCACUUCGAAUUCUAAAUCGGCGAUGAAGGAGCCUGUUCCUGAGCCUCUUCCAUAAAUGUCUCAAACUUCGUUCUCUUUUCUCUUUUUUUUUUUUUUGAACUCGUAAUGGGCCUCGGCCCUUUUUAUUUAUGGAAACACUUGCAACUCUUUUAAUUCUCAUAUCAUUCUUGGAGAUACGUCUUUUAAUGCAGGAUCGGUUUAAGGGCAUAAAUCUCUCCGCGAAUCACUCCAUUUCCGGGUUGAAUCCGCAGCUUGCUAGGGAUACGACGUCCCUAUAAAUUACAGUUUCAAAUUCCCUUCGUUCCUCACUAUUCUUCUUACUUCUGCAAAUAUGGAUUUUAACCUUCGAUGUUCAGAGUCUAUGCCGGACUUCUCCAGGAUCGGAAUGAUAGAUGAAGAUGUUCCAAGUAGACGAUCUUCUCCACUUCGCGGCUUUUUCAGAUCUCAGAUCCAAGCUCCAUGCACUUUGAUCAAAGACCUUCCAGAUAGAGACCGGGAGAUCACGAUGGCCUUUAUCAAAGCGCUCGCAAUUCAACACAGGAAGCUAUCGCUGGAAAAUAAAAAACUUCGGAAGAAGAUUCAUCGAAUGCAACGCAGGGUUACUGCGAUAUCAAGGGAUCUUCACAUCCUUAGUUCUCACCCCGGAGAGUGGAUUAAGCUCGGAAUCUCCGAUUUUGCUCGUAUCCCGGAUUGUAUGAUGCCAGUUCUUGACCUCGCUGGUCAAGGAGUUCAAGUGUUCUGCUCUCCGGGAGGGUUUUCCUAACUCGAAGUGUGCGAAGAUCGACACUUUGUCUUAUUUGUUUGAAUAAAUGUUUUGCUUCCAGUUUUUGUGCAUUCGCCUAGUCGAAUUUUUUCUUUUUAAGAAAUAAAAACAAAUUUUCAUUAAUAGCUGAACUCGUUUUCGAGCUGCCUACGUACCCAUUUCGGGAUCAAGCCACACCGUAGUUCAUGUACAUAAUAAAAUGCGUAUUAUUUAAACAUAAAACUUCUUUAGAUUGAUCACGUUCUAAGGUCGCUGGACUGGACUGCCUUCUAAGUCUUUCAACCUAUAAACACCAUUUCGAACCACUUCGGUAACAAUAUAAGGCCUUCCCAAUUAAUGCCGAGUUUGCCUGCGCCUUCCUCUUUUUUAUUGUCGAAAACUCGCCUUAGCACAUAGUCUCCUACAAAGAAUGGCCUACUUUUGACUUUGGAAUUAUAGUAUCGAGCUGCUGCUUGCUGGUAAUUUUGUAUCCGAAUUAAUGUUUGAUCUCGUCUUUCAUUAAUGGUAUCCAGCGAGUCGUCGAGCAUUGCUGAAUUCUCCUCCUUAUUCAAUGGUGCUUCUGUUUGGCGAAGGCCAGGCACGUUGAGUUCAGCCGGUACUAUUGCUUCCAUGCCAUAAACUAGAGAGAACGGAGUUUCUCCAGUAGGUCGCCUAGGGGUUGUACGAUAAGCCCAUAGGACGGGUUGGAGUUCAUCAUACCACCCUCCCUUUAGGUGAUUCAAACGUUUUUUGAAAUUGCUCAAAAUUGUUUUGUUCGCAGCUUCGGCUUGGCCAUUUCCUUGUGGAUACCGUGGAGUAGAAUAACUGACCUUGAUUCCCCAUUCCGAGCAAAAAGCUUCAAACUCGUGCGAAAUGAAUUGUGGCCCAUUAUCAGUAACUAUCUCGUAUGGAACCCCAUGUCGGCAUAUGAUAUUCUUCCAAAUGAAGUAUUCACCGCCGAAUCUUUGAUGCUAGCAUAUGCUUCAGCUUUAAUCCACUUUGAAAAAUAAUCCGUCAAGACCAACAGGUAUUGUACUCCUCGAGUUGAUCUGUGCAAUGGUCCAAUGAAUAUCCAUCGACCACCUCAUAAAUGGGUACAGGGCAGAGAUGGAGGAGAAUAACUCUGAAGGUUGAUGGAUCAACGGUGCAUGGAGUUGACAACGUUUACACCUUUGGGCGAACUUGACACAAUCCGUGAUCAUAGUGGGCCAAUAAUAGCCCAUCCUUUUUAUUUUUAAAGCCAUGGCCCUUCCAGACGCAUGACUCCCACACAGACCUUCGUGUACUUCUCUCACGACGAUUUCGACUUUGGGCCCAAAAAUGCACAAUAGGUAGGGGUCGCUGACAGCCCGCUUAUACAACGCAUCCUUCGAUAGACAAAUUUUCGCGCUAACGAUUCUCAUUUUCCUGGCUUGCCACUUAUUUUUCGGGAUCUCACCUGUCAUGAUGUAGUGCUUUAUUGGCUCCCUCCAAUCAGCCCCCCAAUCUUUAGCCGGAAUUUGGUCAAUCUCAUGAAAUACUCGUGGUUCCGGUUCGGGAUGUUCAUUUGGUUCAAGGUCUGGUUCGGGAUGGUUGUUUUCGACUAACGGUUCCGUCUCUAUAACAGUUUCUAGAAGUAUAUCUGGCUCCUUGUUGUGCUUUUUCGACUUCCUCCGUUUAACAGGUGGCAGCUCGACCUCGGGCUCGCCACGUUCACGCGCUGCUGCUCGAGACCUUGUAACAACGAGAACUUCUUUGUCAGUUUUAAUGCUUCGUUCUGCGAUACAUUCAACCGGAAUGAUUCUUUUUAGUUCAUGAUCUAAUGUUGACGCUAAUGCGGCAAGUGCAUCCGCGGUUGUGUUUUCUCCUCGAGGUAUGCGAAUUAGUUCGAAUUUCUUGAAGUCUUUGGAAAGACCUUUCACUACUUCGAGGUAUGCUUCCAUUCUCAGGUCUUUCGCUUCAUAAUCGCCAUUGAACUGAUUAACUACUAACUGUGAAUCACAAUAAGCAACCACUUCUUCAGCUCCAACCCCUUGUGCCAGUCGAACUCCGGCAAUUAGUGCCUCAUACUCUGCCUCAUUAUUAGAAGCAUUAAACAAUAAACGGAAUGAUUGUUCAAGAAUUUCCGACGUUGGGGAUUCCAACUUGAUUCCUACCCCAGACCCUUGUUUGAUGAAGAUCCGUCUACAUACAGUUUCCAAGUCUGAUUCUCUGGUUGCUCCGGUGUCCUCAGCACUAGUAGUUCGGUUAGGAAAUCUGCCAAAACCUGAGCCUUCAUGCUGACCCGGCUUUUAUAUUCUAUAUCAUAUUCACUCAGCUCCACUGCCCACUUUUCCAAUCGUCCGGACUGAUUUGGACUAUGAAGUAUUAUUCGGAGUGGCUGGUUGGUUAACACUUGGAUUGGAUGAGAUUGGAAGUAUGGACGUAGCUUCCGGGCUGAAGUUACUACUGCAUGUGCGAGUUUUUCCAUCAUUGUGUACCUUGUUUCUGGAUCUGUCAUUGACUUACUUAUGUAGUAAAUCGGCUUUUGCUCUCCGCGGUCCUCUCGGACCAAGACUCAACUAACUGCAUGUUUUGACACUGAAACAUACAAAUAGAGCUUCUCGUCCACUUCGGGUUUAGACAACACUGGUGGAGUGGUGAGGUAUGCUUUAAGUUGUCCGAAAGCUUCUUCACACUUCUCAUCCCAAAGGAACCCUUUGUUUCCCUUAAGAAUUUGAUAAAAAGGUAAAGAUUUGUCCGUUGAUCUUGAAAUAAAUCGGUUUAGGGCUGCAAUUCGACCAGUCAAACGCUGUACUUCCUUGAAGUUCUUCGGAGAUGGCAUGUUUAGAAAGGCAUUGAUUUGGUUUAGAUUAGCUUCAACUCCUCUUUUUGUCACAAUAUAACAAAGGAAUUCUCCGGAUGGAACUCCGAAAGUGCACUUCGCCGGGUUCAGCUUCAUUUGAUAUUGGUUGAGAAUUUCGAAACACUCCUCCAAAUGCUUAAUGUGAUCCUCUUUUUUCAAAGACUUAACCAACAUAUCAUCUAUGUAGACUUCCAUUGUUUUCCGAGAUGCUCAUGGAACAUUUUGUUGACCAACCGUUAAUAAGUUGCACCUGUGUUUUUUAAAGCAAAAGGCACUACUUUAUAACAAUAAGUACCUCUGUCCGUGAUAAAUGACGUCUUUUCUUGGUUUUCAGGAUCCAUCAUUAUUUGAUUAUAACCCGAGAAGGCGUCCAUGAAGGUUAAUAAUUCAUUCCCAGCGGUAGAUUCCACGAGCCGGUCUAUAUGCGGGAGCGGGAAACUAUCUUUUGGACAUGCUUUAUUGAGAUCGGUGAAGUCGAUACACACCCUGUCUUUUCCAUUUUUCUUUUUGACCACGACAGUGUUUGCUACCCACUCCGGGUACUGUACUUCCCUUAUAGAUCCUAUUUUUAAUAGUUUGUCCACUUCAUCAUUUACUGCCUUUGCUCGCUCUACUGCGAGUUUUCUUCUUUUUUGUUUUACAGGCUUGAAACUUGGAUCCACGUUCAGUUUGUGGCAAAUUAUGCCUGGAUCUAUGCCGGGCAUAUCCGCCGCUGACCAUGCAAAUGACGUUUUGUUUUUCCUUAGAAGUUUGAUCAAAGCUUCUUUUAUUUCGCCAGUCAAAGUAGCUCCAAUUCGGACUUUCCGAUCUGGUUUGUCUCCUUCUAAUACUACUUCGAUUACUACAUCAUCCUCUUUCUGCCCACUAGGAAAUCUUGGAAUUAUUCCCUUCUUCGCAGGUUUCGUUAAUUGCUAUUGGAUCUUCAGUCGAUGACUGGUCAGAUAACACGUUCGUGAAGCUUCUUGACUUCCUCGAAUUGUUUCCACUCCACUAGGAGUUGGAAAUUUGAUGCAUUGAUGAUAUGUCGAGGGGACUGCCUUCAUUUGAUAAAUCCAUGGAGUCCCAAGGAUGAUGUUGUAGGUUGCCGGUUUAUCAAAAACAACAAAAUCUACUAUUUUGACAUAUUUUUGGCAAGAACUGGCAGCUUGAUCGUCCCGAGAGACAUGGCCGACUCACUUGUGAAUGCCACUAAAGGAGACGGAGGUCCCACUAUGUCUGCCCGACUGAUUCCCAUCCUUUCCAAAGUACCUAAAAAGAUUAAAUCGAUCGAACUGCCCGUAUCAAUGAGAAUUCUCGAUACUUCAAAGUUGGCAACGUCUAGGGUAAUGACUAGGGCGUUAUCAUGAGGUCUUUCGAGGUGAUGUGUUUCUUCUUCGUCAAAUGAUAUUGACGCGCCAUGGAAGUCAAUUUCUUCGCCCAAAUUCGCUUUAAGUAAAACAUUUCGCCUAUGCUUUUUUAUGGCACUGAUCGUAUCUCGGCAAAGUUUGGAACCUCCAAGGAUCACAUUGAUUUUUCCCUUCGAACUUCUAGGUUCUUCUUCGUUGGAUUGCCUAGGUCUUUUUAAAUUCUGAUCUUUGGGGGUAUCCUUCGCUUCGUGAUAUUCCUUCACGAAAUCUUCUAUCUUGAAUUUAGAAAGAUCUCCACUGGCCCACAGCUCUGCGAGGUGUUUUUUGAGGACACUACAGUCUUUGGUUAAGUGUCCGGUUACCUUAUGGAUGUCACAAUACAAACUUUCGUCAUGGAUCCAAGUGUUGACCUUCCUUUUCCUUGAAAUUGCUUCCCGACGGUAUUGUUAAGGGGUUGCGAUCCGAACUUUUUUGGUCCUUGGUUCUCCCUAGGCUCAAACUUUUUGAUAGGGAAGGUGACCGCUGGUUUUGCUUGUUUGUUCCUUUUUGCAAAACUUUCUUUUUCGUCUUCUACUUCCAUCCAGUUAUUUGCACGGAAAAGUGCGUCUUGAAUCGUGUCUGGUUUGUGAAGUAUUAGAUCCUCUUUGAACCUUGAGUCAUGCCACAAACCUUUUCAUAGGGCAGAUAAAGCUGACUGCUGCGAGAUUCUUGGGAGUUUUGACAGCACCCCCUUGAAUUUGGUGAUGAAAGUUCUAAGUGACUCAUUUGGCCCUUGUGUUAGAUUCCAAAGGUCAGCAUCCGAAACGCUUUUAUCCAUGAGGAUAGAAUAUUGUUUCAGGAACACAGCCGAUAACUCGUCGAAGUUAUUGAUUGAGCCUGGUUCCAGCUGGGUGAACCACAUUAGUGCUUGACCGCAAAGAUUUUCCGAGAAGAGUUUGCAAUAUCCUGCAUCCUCGUCAGCUUCAUCCAAUUCGACUCUUCCAGCAGCAAUCAGAAAAGCUGCGAGAUAGCUCUUUGGGUCUUCUAAUCCACUGUAAGGGUCCAGUUUGAGUUUCCGAGAAUCCUUGAUUCUCAAAUUUGCAAUUCGCGGGAUGAAAGGUGUUCGCCUAGCUUCCUCGAUGACUCGGUUGAUGUCCGGCUCCGAACUGGUGGCCUGGUGGAACUUUGAUUUCAUUUCUCUUAGUUCCUGGCUAACCUUUCUCAUGGUUUCGAGCUGAUCGAAGCUUUCUUGAUCAUACUGAUCUACAAGCUGGUUUUCAUCUCCGAGCUGCGUCUCUUCUUCCACCGGUUGAAUUACUGGGUUAGGGGUUGUUUGUUCGUUGGUUUCAUUUCGCACACGUGAGUUUGGCGUACUGAACAUACUUCUUCGGACUCCCACAGUAUUUCCUGCACCUAGAGAACGAACACGAGAUUGAAUAGUAUUGACGCUUUGACCAAGAGAUACCUGGGUUGUUUUAAGCGUGUCCACAGCUUUUUCCACAUCCGAGAACUUCUGCGACAUUUCUGACAUGGUUUGCUGCAUGGCCUUGAGAGUUUCAGCUACUGACGAGUCAGGGAUGCUUGCUCUAGACAUUGCUGCUUAUCUCGGAAAUGUAGUGAGAGAAAUCUGACAACUCAAGAAUCUUCUAUUCCCCACAGGCGGCGCCAAAAUGUGGACGUUGGAUUCACACACUCGAAUAUUUGCUUAUUUAGUGGGAAAGAUUAUUCUUGAGAACAAAAAUAUGAUAUGAAAAAGCUAUGAAUUGCAAUGAAAAUGAUUAUAGUUUAUUUGCUAGAAAAAUUGCCUCUCCUUUACAUGGCUCAUGCCCCUAUUAUUUAUACUAACAAACGACAUUUAACUCUCAAUUUAAUACAAUUAUUCUCUCUUAAAUGUGUCCGUUUUGGUCUUCGAAUUUAAUGCUCAACGUUUGAAUUUGAAUUGAUUCUGAUCUUCAUGGGCUUCGCCCUUUAGCCCAAAAGCCCCGAACUGAAAUGAUCUUCAACUUCGACUGCGUAUCCUUCUCGUGGUGAGACCACUCCGAUCCCUCUUCGUGGUAUAACUACCUCGACUAAACUUUUGGGCUUAUAUGUCUAUCGGGCCUUGUCCUCUAUGGGCUUAUGUCCUGCCUAUGUGACAAUCUUUGGUUGGUCCCGAACCACCCAUGCGGGAUCCGACACCAACACAUCUUGCUUACUGGCCAGAGUUCUCUUAGGAAAUAUACUGCAACUCUACUCCUUUUUUGGAGAGCAAUAUCCCAAACUCAGCCUCUCAUGGCUGGAGAAGCAUCUGCCUGGGCAUAAAUCUACUCAAACCACAUCUUGGCAAACUCUUGGGCAAUGGAGAAGACACAUCUAUUUGGUAUGAUCCCUGGCUAUCUCUCUCCAAACCACAAUUUCCCUUUGGACCUACAACGGAAGCAACACAAAAUCUGCGGGUAUCACAUCUCCUUCACAGUGACUCUUUGAAAUGGAAUGAAGGCCUGAUUGAUGAGUUGCUACCUGAUAAUAAGUCAGAUAUCCUGAAACUACGUCCAAGCAUGCUGGGAGGGACUGAUCGAUGGGCCUGGCUUCCGACUUCUUUGGGGAUUUACUCAGCAAAAUCUGGCUACUAUGAAGCCCUGGCCAUGGAAAACUCAGAGUCUUCUUGCAGAGAGCCUCCCUCACCUCUUGAUGACUAUGAUUGGAAAGCAAAUAUUUGGAGACUUAAAAGCUCCCCCAAGAUAACACUCCUCCUCUGGAAAGCGAUGCAAAACGCCUUACCUGUAGGAGAGAACCUGAAACGCCGCAACAUCCUCAACUCUGUGCACUGCAGCCAUUGUGGAGCAGAAGAAUCGAUAGUCCACCUAUUCUUCUCCUGCUCAUUUGCUGCUCAGAUCUGGAAGAAUUUGCCCAGCAAGACCUUAUUGAAUGCUAACCACAUCUCCAAUUUUAAAGAAGGAUAUGAAGCCUCAAAGCUCCUCACGUGCCUCCCUCCAAUUGGAUUAGGCGAGGGUCUUCUAUCCCCUUGGAUCUUCUGGGCGAUCUGGAAUGCCAGGAACCAAAGAGUUUUCAAUGACCGCCACCUCCAACUUGAAGAGGUUAUCUUACAGGCAAUCCUCAAAGCAAAAGAUUGGUCCCAAGCCCAACUACCUACUGGCCAGAUCGACAAACCUGUGAAUAGCUCAGCCUGCAAACCUUUGGCGAACCAUAUCAUUAUAUGUCACACAGAUGCAGCUUGGAAACCAGAUCAAAAUGCAGGAUUUGGCUGGAUUUUUACGGAUCAUCGCAAAAUAGAACUAGGCCAUGGCUCUGGUUAUGCUGCAAACGUUGGAUCUCCUCUUUUGGCAGAGGCGAUAGCAAUCUUCCUCGCGGCUCAACAUGCCCGUAACCUGGGUUUCACCCACAUUUCUCUUGCUUCUGACUCGUCUCAACUAGUCACAUCACUCAAUUCGGAGCUCCGACCAAAGGAACUCCACGGGAUCAUCUUUGAUAUCCUCGAUCUAUCCUCUUUGUUUGAUGUUUUCUCUUUCAAUUUCAUUUCUCGCAAACUCAAUCACGCUGCUGAUUCUCUGGCAAAGGAGUCGUUGACUUCUCUUGUAUUGGGCCUCGCCCAUGUUUAAUGAGAUAUAAAAUCAGUGUUUGCACAAAAAAAAAAAAAACUAGAGAGUCUUCUCUCCAUCUAGGGUGUCCACAUCAGCAUCCAUGUCAUCAUAAUUUAUUAUUUUGUGGGCUCCACUUAUUUCAUUUAUUAAAACAAAACAAUUAAACUAAAACUAAUUCACACAUUAAAUAAAAAUAAUAAUUGACAAAAAUUAAUGAAAUAUUAUGAAAAAACGAAAAAAAUAAAUAUACAACUUAAAAUAUGAAAAUUUUGAAUAGAGAUUGAAUAAAUAUAAAUUAGAUCAUUAUAUUUUAACAUAUAAUGAGUAAAUAUUUUUAAAUAGUUAGAGAUACGAAAAAAGAAACUUAUCAUAUAUUUUAAUGGUACAAAAUUUAUUUUUUAAGAGUUACAAUUAUUUAGUAGAGUAAAGAAAAUAAGAGUUAAAAAAUACCAAAUUUAAAGGUUUUUACUUAAAAUAGAAAGCAAUUCAUUUUUUAGAAUAGACAUUUAAAAUUUGAGUACCGAUUAAAAAAUAAAAAGAAUUUAGAACAUAUUAUUAUUUAUAAUUAUAAUAUAAUAUAAGUAGUUAAAUUAAAAUAUUUUAUAUAUUAUUAAUUUUUUCUAAAUUAAAAAGUGAAUACCUAAAAAAGAAAAACUAAAUAUUAAUUAGUGUUUAGAAAAUUAACAUAGAUUGAAAAAAACUAAGGUGAUUUGCAAUAAAACAAAAAACUAUCCUAAACAUCACAAAUAAAAAUAAAAUAAUCUUAUCGAAUAUGAAAACUGUGUAAUAAUAAUAUUUGAGAAUGCUAUUUGGAAAUUAGAAUAGUAAUGGUAGAUAGAAGAGUUUUUCAUUAGAAAUAAAAAGGAUUUUGUUUUUUUUUUAAUAAAUGUAUUUUAAAAUUAGAAUAAUUUUUAUGAGUUCGUAAGUGUCACAUUUUAGAAAAAUCAACAUUAAGAAUACUUUCUAGAAUCAUAAUAUACAUUAAAUUAUAUAUGUAGAAAGAGAUUUUUGUAUUUUUCAAAUGGUCAAGAUAAAGUACAAAAUUUCACGUUGAAAUCCUAUGUUUAUGAAUAUUAAUGAGUAUAUAUAUGAGAUCUAUUUUCUAUAAAGCAAUUUUAGAUGCACCAAAACAUGGUAAAAAAAAAGCUUUAUGAUAAACAUUUCCUCAUAUUUCUGUUUUGAUGUUCACUUAAAUAAAAAGAUCAUGAAACUUAAAAAAAAAAAUUGAGUAUUGAAUGAUAGGAAGGAGAAAAUAGAAAUGAUCUAAGGAGAAAAGAGAGUAGAUGUUGAGAGACGACGAGUGAAUCAUAGAAGAUAACGAGAAAUAUUGUAGUGAAAAAUGUGAGAAACUUUUUACUACUUUGGAAAGAUAAUUCAUAUGGGUAAAGUAAAAUCUUUUAAAAUUCAAUUGAUUAUAUUUAUACUCAAAGUAUAAAAGUUUAAAAUUAAAUCCCGCGUGUUGCGCGGGUACACCAUCUAGUUGAUAUAAUCGAUGACAUGAAAUGGAGGUAAAGUCUUAAAAAGAUUAAGAUAGUUCAACUGAGUUUGAAAUGGUCUUGACGUACGACUAUUUUUUCUUUCAUCUCUAUUUAUGUCUUUUAUUAAUUUUAAAAUUAUUUAUUAAAAGAAAACUUGCGGAGAAAUAAAUACUCUUGGCAACAAGUUUUCUUUCGUCAUGAUUACUAAAUUAGGUCCCAAAAUGAACUAAUUUAGGGCACUAAUGAAACCCAAAUUAACUUCACUACUCAAUUCUAAAGAUACCUACCUACAUAUAGAAAACAAUGUAACAGACUCGUGAGUGGUGACUAAUACAUCUAAAGUUUAGUUUAUUAUAUUUAUUUAUGAGAAAUAUAUGUUGAGUAUAUUCGCAUUUGAUAUUACUUUUGUAGUUAUCGGUUUCAAAAACUGGUGGCCCGACGGUGGUUCUGGAUCUCUUCAAGGGGAGAAACCUCCUAUUAAACAUUGAUUGAAUUAAUGUCUCAAUCAGUUUGGAUGGGAAAGUGGUCGAAUUUCCAUUUCUUAGAAAUAAGUUCUUUACAAGAACAUGAUUUUCUGUUUUCUUUCAGUUGUCAUUGUUGUUCGGUAAAUCCGAAUUAUGUAGGUACGGUCUCUUUUUAUUUCUCUUUGCAAGAUGUAACUUACAGAUUCUGUAUGUGUUUCAUAUAAUCUGGGAGCUCAAAGUAAUAAAGGAAAGUUAUUUUUUCCAUCGGUUUAUGUCACAUGUUCUGUUCUUAAAAUUUUUGGUUUACUUAUGGUUUUAUUAUUUAUCAAACCAAAGGAAUCUCAGCAGUUAUAUGUUUGGUUUUGUUAUGAAAUUUCUGUUAAAUAACGAAGGAGUUAGGUCCACUUUAAAUAUUACAUGGCAUAUGAUUGUUACAUAUAAGUUAAAUUCGGUUUGGUUUAAUGAGGUAAUAUACGAGGAGAAAUUUUCAAAUGGCUUACGUAAGGCUCUUGUAUUUAAAGCUGUGUUGGGUCAAAUGAAGGGUCAACACACCCUAUUGAAGAACGAAGAUAAUAUAUGAAGAUAUUAAGUUUGAAUUGUCAAGGUUUAGGGAAUAAGGCAACAAUUGGUUAUUUACGGGAUGUGUGGAAACAACAUCGGCCAGAUUUUUUGUUUCUUUCGGAAACAAAACAAUCCUCUUUAUUUAUGAAAAAAUUUGUUGGUCAUUUUGGUUAUAAGAAUUUAAAAACAGUUGAUCCUAUCGGUUGUAGUGGUGGUUUAGCUCUUUAUUACAAUAAUGAUUUUAAUGUUUCAAUUAUUUAUGAAAGCAAUAGUUUAAUUGAUAUUGAGGCUAUUUAUAAAGGAAAAACAAUUUAUCUCACAUUUGUUUACGGAGAUCCGGUACCAAAAAACAGAGACCAAGUUUGGGAACGGUUAACGCGGAUUGGGAUAUCUCAAAAUUCUCCUUGGUUUUUGAUCGGAGAUUUUAAUGAAUUGACGGGAAAUCAUGAAAAAAGAGGUGGUAAAUUGAGACAUGCUUCUUCUUUUAUCCCUUUUAAUUCAAUGAUAAAUGAUUGCGGCCCCAUGGAAUUUCCAUAUCUUGGAGAUUGGUUAUCUUGGAGGGGAUGGCGGAAUAAAAAGCCUAUUCGGUGCCGGUUGGAUAGAGCGUUAGCAAAUGAGGAUUGGCAUGAAUUAUUCUGCAAUUCUUAUGUAGAAUAUUUACAAAUGGUAGCUUCAGAUCAUUCCCCGGUAGUAGCUACAAUUGCUGAUAAGAUACCACGUGGUAAGCGCUGUUUUAGAUUUGAUAAAAGAUGGAUCGGAAAAGAGGGAUUACUAGAGGCAAUUUCAAGCGGGUGGAAUCUCGAUUCUAGUGCUGAAGAUGGAAAUUUUGUGGAAAAAUUGACUAACUGUCGAAGGGCUAUUUCACAAUGGCGGAAAGAUUUAUCUCCAUAUGGACGAAAAACAAUAGAGGACUUGAAAUCGGAAUUUAAUGCAGCUCAGCGGGAUGAUACGAGAACACGAGAGGAAAUUACGGAAUUAACAUUGUAGCUGAAAGAGGCUUAUAGAGAUGAGGAGCUAUAUUGGUAUCAAAAACGUAGGGGCCUUUGGAUGCAAUUAGGGGAUAAUAAUUCGAAAUAUUUUCAUGCUCUUACAAAACAGAGACGUGCAAGGAAUCAGAUUACUGGUCUACAUGAUGAAAAUGGGAUAUGGUCUGCAGAGGAUAAAGAUAUUCAAAACAUAGCGGUUUCCUAUUUUAAGGAUUUAUUCACUACAAUGUUGAACCCGAACCCCCCAGGGUUGGUAACAUCAUGUAAAAGAUGGGACAAAGUUCUCAUAAGACAAGUACAAAGAUGGGUUGAAUAGAUCGUAUAAAUUUGUGGAGAAAAUAAUAUAUAUUUUGUUAUAGCUGGACUCGAGAGACGAGCUACCUACGUACCCGAAGCGGGAUCAAGCCGUAGUUCGAUUACAAUAAAGAGAAUGUAUUUAGUCAUUAUUACGAAUGACAUUGUUUGUGUCUAGAUAAUGGUGAGAAAUGUAGAAGAUGAAUCUUGUGUAGAAGAAUAUCCGUCCCUUUCUUGGAGUCUUCACUUCUCUUUUAUAGCCUCUUCCUUCCUUCUAGGAUAUCUUUACUUGGCCAUUAAAUUCAGAAUUAACUCCAAAAAAUAACUCCAAUUUUUGGUAAUUAACUCCUAAUCUUGAAUGACAAACUGUAUUCCUUUGACAAUGGCAAUUAAUUCAUGAAUUUAAUCACAAAUUAAUGUCAAGGUUUGACCACCCCCUUUCGCAAGAUAGGGCUCCUUGGAUUUUGUAAAGUGAUGGUUCUCCAACAUGUAAAAUGGACCCCUUGCGGGAUCCGGUACCAACAUACAACUAAUCCUCAAGCCUUUGAGGAGUCUCUAGCAGAGGUUCAGACAAUGAUAACGGAUCCGAUUAAUGAUUUUUUAACGGCUCCCGCGACGGAAUGUGAGGUCCGAGCGGCUUUAUUUAUGAUGCAUCCGGAUAAGGCACCCGGACCAGACGGGAUGACAGCUUUGUUUUUCCAGAAAGCCUGGAUUACCAUUAAAUCGGAUUUGUUAACUCUCGUUAAUUCUUUUUUACAAGGAGUUUUUGACAAGCGGUUAAAUACGACUAAUAUAUGUCUUAUUCCAAAAACGGAGCGACCGACUCGGAUGACAGAAUUACGGCCUAUUAGUCUCUGCAAUAUUGGUUACAAAGUUAUAUCAAAGAUCCUAUGUCAAAGACUUAAGAAGAUCUUACCAAAUCUUAUUUCGGAAACCCAAUCUGCUUUUGUAGAAGGGCGACUAAUUUCGGUUAAUAUACUAAUAGCACAAGAGAUGUUUCAUGGUCUGAGAACUAACCAGUCAUGCAAAGGAAAAUUUAUGGCUAUUAAGACGGAUAUGAGCAAAGCUUACGAUCGGGUUGAAUGGAGUUUCAUAGAAGAAUUAUUAAGGAAGAUGGGUUUUUGCGAAAAAUGGAUUUCGUGGAUGAUGUGGUGUAUCACAACAGUCCAAUAUAGGGUCUUACUUAAUGGACAACCAAAAGGGCUAAUAAUUCCAGAGAGGGGACUUAGACAAGGAGAUCCUUUAUCUCCUUACUUAUUCAUUCUCUGUACGGAGGUACUCAUUGCGAAUAUUAAGAAAGCGGAACGUGAAAACUUGAUUACAGGUAUCAAGGUAUCCACAGCUAGCCCGUUGGUAUCUCAUCUCUUAUUUGCUGAUGAUAGUUUGUUCUUUUGCAAAGCCAACAAAGAACAAUGCAGGGUAAUUUUGGGAAUUCUAAAACAAUAUGAAGCGGUUUCAGGGAAACAAAUUAAUUUUUCAAAAUCAUCUCUUCAGUUUGGCUACAAAGUUGAUGAGUCUAUUAAGGAAGAAAUAAAAGCGGCUCUGGGUAUCCACAAUCUUGGUGGCAUGGGAUCUUAUCUUGGUCUACCGGAAAGCCUUGGUGGAUCUAAGAUAAAGAUUUUCUCCUUUGUUCGAGAUAGACUUCAGGUUAGGAUAAAUGGUUGGUCGGCUAAGUUUUUAUCGAAAGGCAGAAAAGAAGUUAUGAUUAAAUCGGUAGCUGCGGCAUUACCAACAUAUGUUAUGUCAUGCUUCAGACUACCAAAAUCAAUAACUUCUAAACUUACGAGUGCGGUCGCAAAAUUUUGGUGGAGCUCAAACGGUGAAUCGAGGGGAAUCCAUUGGAUGGCUUGGGAUAAACUUUGUAGUAGUAAAUCGGAAGGUGGGGUAGGAUUUCGGAACGUGGAUGAUUUUAAUUCAGCGUCAUUGGCUAAACAAUUAUGGCGUUUGAUUAUGGCUCCUGAGUCACUAUUUGCAAGGGUAUUUAAAGGACGAUAUUUCCGGAAAUCCAAUCCAUUGGAUAAUAUAAAAUCGUACUCUCCUUCUUAUGGUUGGAGAAGUAUAAUGUCAGCUAGAUCUCUGGUUCUUAAAGGACUUAUUAAAAGAGUUGGUUCUGGGGCGUCCAUCUCAGUAUGGGAGGACUCAUGGAUACCAGCUCAAUUCCCGAGACUAGCAAAAAGUAAUAGUUCAAUUACUGACCCAUCUUUAAAAGUUAAUCAACUUAUCGACAGCCGGUCAAACUUUUGGAAUAUGAAUCUCUUGGCGGAGCUUUUUGAUCCAGAGGAUGUCGCGCUGAUUAGUGCUUUGCCUUUGGGUGUCUCAACUAAGGAGGAUACCCUUGGUUGGUAUUUCACAAAAUCAGGAAAUUAUACGGUUAAAUCGGGUUACCAUACCGCACGGACAGAGACUUCUGAUGCCACCCUUAAAUUUUUUGGCCCGGAUAUCAAAUCUCUGAAAGCUUAUGCAUGGAAGGUGAAGUGUCCACCAAAGCUACGACAUUUUUUGUGGCAAAUAUUAUCAGGUUGUGUACCUGUUACGGAGAAUCUGAGAAAGAGAGGUAUAAAUUGUGACACCGGAUGUGUUAGAUGUGGCGCUGUGGAGGAAACAAUUAAUCACACACUUUUUGAAUGUCAUCCUGCAAGACAAAUCUGGGCUCUUUCUCCAAUCCCUUCGGUUACAGGGAUUUUUCCCUCGGCUUCUAUUUACGCGAACUUGGAUCAUCUUUUCUGGAGAAUUCCAUCAGAGAUUGAUUCGUCUUUAUUUCCAUGGAUAAUUUGGUAUAUUUGGAAAGCGAGAAACGAGAAAAUUUUUGAUAAUGUGGAUAAAGACCCAUUAGAGGUUCUACAUUUAGCGGAGAAAGAGGCACAAACUUGGCAGGUUGCUCAAUCUGAGCUACAUAUUGACAACCAAGGUUCUUCAGAUACUGUAUCUCGAAAUCGCGUGAGAGAGAUUUCAUUGGAUUCCAGUUACUCCGGACAUCGGUGCUUCAUGGAUGGAUCAUGGAAAAGGACUGAUAUUUUUUCGGGAACAGAGUGGUACUGUACAUCGGCAAAUGGAGAGAUGCCAACCAUGGGAGCUGCAAACAUCCGGCGAAGUCUAUCCCCCCUACAUACAUAUGUCGAAGCUCUACUCUGGGCGAUGAAGUGUAUGAUUGGUGCUGACAACCAAGAUGUAGCUUUCUUUACAGACUGUUCAGAUUUGGUGAAGAUGGUGUCUUCUCCAACCGAAUGGCCGGCCUUCUCAGUGUAUUUGGAAGACUUGAAGAGUGACAAGGAAGAAUUCUCUAAUUUUUCUUUAUCUUUAAUUCCGCGUAGCGCAAAUGUAAAAGCGGAUAAUUUGGCACGAAUAAUUCGUACCGAACCGCAUCAUAUCACUUAUGUAAACAACAUUACUCAGAAAUGGCUCUUUUGAGAAUCUAUUUUAUUUAAGCUGUUGACAAAAAAAAAAAAUUUCAUUUAAGUUUAAAUCAAGUUUGGAUAAACAAAUGAAUCAACCAGAAAAGAUGUUAGGAUAUUACAUAUACACAGAAAAUGUUUAGACUUUUAACACACAAAAUGUUAAUGAAAUCAAUUGGUCCAAAUGAAAUCAUUAUACGGAAGGAGACCAUUAGCAAAUAUCUUUGUGUUGUAUAAGAUGGAAUUGGGGAAGAUAAUAGUAUUGGGAAAAUAAUUGUUUUAGCAUGUCAUAUGUUGAUCGGAAAUAAAAAUAAAGUCUUGAUAACAACAGAGGGGGCAAAUUAAGUAAGUAACACUCAUACGAUAUUAUUAAUAUUCUCCAUGUUCCUAGAAGAUUGAUUUUCUAAAAAAUUUACAUAUAUAUACAAUUAUUGUUUAAUUAUUUAAUAAUUAGUUAUUUAAUAAAAUAUUUUUAUAUAAAAUAUGAAAAUAGUAAUCUUAAAUAGCUAAUUAUUUUUAAUCAUUACAUCUUGAAAUCUACUAUUUAUUAAUAUCAAUUAAUAAAAAAAGAACCUAAAAAAUCAAUUUUUGUAGAACAUACAUAAAGCACUAGAACAUCAAUCUUCUAGGAAGAGAGAGAGUAUACAACAACACUAUUAAGGUGUUAAAUUUUGCUGAUCAGUAAUAAAAUCAAAAUGACAAGAAAUUCAAAAAUUUUACGAAUUAUAUCUCUAUAGAUUUGAAUACAAUGUGAUUAUUUUCAAUCUGUUUCUCUGCUUACAUUACAUAGGUCAUGUUUGUUUCGUAAUUGCAGGACGAUUGCGACUGCGACUACGACGAUUUUGAAUCGCAUGAUGUUGUUCGUUUAGCAAUCGCGCGACUAUUCGCUAUUUAAAAAGUCGCAUCGCUAAUUUUUGAUAUAUGAAUUAUUAGUAUACAUAACAUGUUUUGUUUUAUUUUAGAAGUUAGACACACUUUAUGUAUGCAUAAUAGGCAUUAGUAACACAUUUUAUGUAGUAAACGACCAGUGGCUGAAUAAUAUGAGCAGUAUAUUCUAGAACAUUGGUGUAAAAAGAAAAUUCAUUAAUAAAAUAGAGUGGCUUUAGUAUAGGGGUGUCAAAAUGAGUUAAUACCCAUGGGUUACCCGAACCCGCCCAUGAUUUUAGUGGGUUUGGGUAGAAUUUUUUUACCCAUAUAUAUAUAUAUAUAUAUAUAUAUAUAUAUAUGGGUUUCAGUGGGUUACCCUAUUAGGGUUAUGGGUUUAAUGGGUAAAACCCAUUAGGGUCAUGGGUUACCCAUGGGUUUCAUAACCAAAACUAAAAAGUAAAAUUUAUAUAUAUCUAUAUUAAUAUAUUAUGUAAAAUUUAUAUAAAUAUAUAUAAAAUAUCUUCUUUUCUUUACAACUAUCUUUUUUAUUUGGUUUUAUGGUUCUUUGGAUUUGUGGUUUUAAGAUUUUAGGAUGUUUUUCUACUUUAAUAUCUAGAUUUUUUAAUUUAUUAUUUAAAAACUUUUGUUGGUUUACAAUUUUAUGUUAUUUUUUUGGAUUUUUAUUAUUUAUAUAUUUUAUUAUACAUAUAUAUGGGUACCCAUAUAACCCAUUAAGCCAAUGGAUUUUUACAAUAAUGGGUUUGGGUAUAUAAAUUUAACCCAUAUAAAUAUAUGGGUCGGGCCAAACCCGUCCAUUAAACACUCGAACCCAUGUUGGUUUGGGUCGGGUCGGGUCGGGUUACCCAUUUUGACACCCUUACUUUAGUAUGCAUAUCAAUUAUUCUAUAUAAUACCAAAUAGAGUAAGAUUAGUUCAAAACCGCCAUUGAAAUUGGUGUUUAAUCGAUGGGCUGAAUUGAAAUUGGGGUAAAAGUUAUUCAUUUUUUUUUCUCACAAUUCUCAGAAAAACGAACCUUCAUGACUCUUUCCUAAAGACACCUCUAAAUAGAAAGAACGUAACCUCUAAACUCUAAAGUGAGAUUAUUGCCUUAAUUAACCAUAGACUUAAGAGAGAAGUUGUAAGUUUGUGUUAGUGGAGUAGAUGGAGAGUUAAGUACGCAACUCAACAUUUUCACUUUCUUUCAGCUAUAAAUAUGUUUAGAAGAGGUAUUACAUUCCACCACAUAGAAAAACUCUUUCACAAUAUUGCAGUUUAUUAUUUUAUCAUCCUUUUUUAUUUGUUUGAAAUCUUUGUGGCAAAAAUGGCAAAUGUUGGAAACACUAACCUGCAUGAUCGUUUUAGAACACUAGUUGGUGACCUGAACUUGGCACAAAAUCAGUUUCAGUUCAAAUGCGCGGAGUUAGUGAGAAAUUAUGAAGAGUCUCAACCGAAGAAGGUGCUGGAGGAAA